CGUCUUCUGUAGCACGGCCCGAAGAUGUAUGAUACUGAUGGGCCAACGCAGUAGGUUGCCCCUCGAUAACUUCAUUGGGCUCUCGGUCUCUCAAAUUACCUCGUCUCCGUCCCGUGUACUCCUCGUCUACCUCCUCCUCGCCUCUCACUUCAAGGCCGGACACCCCUCCCACUGCCACGCCCACGUCCCGCCUCCUCUUCCGCUACUCGGAGGAUUCGUCUCCGUUUAUCCGCUGGAAGAUGUCUCCGGAUCAAGGCCUGCGUAAAAUUUCAAUACCGACGUGUGUGUGUUUGUUGAGACCGGUUUGGUCUCUUUGGUGAAACAUGCUCAGAUGUUGUUUGAGGAUAUGCCUGUGAAAAAUGUUGUCUCUUGGACUGGAUCAUUAGUGCGUAUAAUGGUGACGAGAGGCUGGAAGAGGCGCUUGACACGUUCAGAAGCAUGUUGGAUAUGUGUUUGAGGCCAAAUAGUUUCACUUUAGUCAAGAUACUGACUGCUUGUUUUUGGUCACUUUGGUCGAUAGUAACAACAACAACAACAACAACAAAGCCGAAAGUCCCAACUAUCGAGAUAUACUAGAGUCAACAUGUGUGCUAAACGCGGAAGAAUGAAGAAAGCUCGCAUAAUUAUCGAGAUGUCCUAGAGUCCAAUGAUCUAUUGCAUUGUGGUGCAUCAGUUCUCCUGUUGGCUUGUAAAAUUUGUACAGCUGCAAGGAGUAAGUGGGUUACAUACAAGAGAUUCAUGUCGUUGACUCCUCGUUCGUGAGCCAAACAAGACCUGGUGAGCCGCACGUCAAAUAGCCAACUCAUUAGGACAUGCAUGCACCAAUCUUUUAUUUUGAUGGGUAAAAGUGUUCAGGAUGAUGUGGUUGCUGUUUCUCCAUCCACCUCUUCGCCAUGCCCAGCAAAGAGUUCAAAGGGAGUAAUCUCCUCUCUUGUCAUCAUCUCAUAACACUUGUAUUUGUUACAUAAUGAUAAAGAUUAUGUUAGUAUGGUUCAAAGGGAGUAAAGUUUCUCUUUCAUUUCGCUCCAACUGAUGUGUCUUUUGUUCUCUGAAGAAUAGAUUACAAAAAGGAUUCACAACUUCCACUCGUUUCCAUCAAGUGGGAGGAAAAAGAUGAAGUGAUCACGAUUAUGUGUAUAUCCACAUAAGAAUAAGAGAGAGAGAGAGAGAGAGAGAGAGAGAGAAGCAGCAAGCCAUGCUCCACCACCCACAUGCUGAAGCGAAAAAUCUUAUCUCAGACUUCUGAUAUGCUCUCGAGACGCGGCCUCCAUACGCCAACCCGCCCACUCCGCCGGCGGCGGUGACAUGCCUUCUUCUCCGAGACGAUCGCUGAGAGGCGGUCGUUGUCAUGGUCCGACUCCUUAGCGGCCACGUCGCCACCAGUUUUCUGGUGCCUCUUCUUCUUUAUCUCUUUGCCUGCAGGGCCUGGGAAUGCUGAUUCGGGAAUCAAGAAGUAGAUAUAGCCCCUCUUCAGGUCCGAGUCCGGCGACACGAUCAAGAUCUUGCGGGUGACUCCCUGGGAGCACGGCUUGCUGAUGAUGUGGUUCGGGUUGGCUGCCAGGAUCUCUCCGGCGGAGACCUGACGGCUGUACUCCUCGACUCGGCCAUUGAGAUGGACGAUUCGGAUGACGUCCAGCGCGCCACAGGGAAGAACGCAAGCCAAACAGCAUCUGAGGCUGUUCCCCAUGUUCUCUGCUUCUUCUGCUGCUUCUCUUCUUGUUGCGAGACUGCUAUAGGUUAUAUAUAGACGCUUAUCGCUGCAACUUCCAAUAAACUUAGUUGCCGCUUUAUAGAA